rnacentral:tRNA from 1 species
GAGGCUAUAGCUCAAGUGGUAGAGUGUAUGCUUAGCAUACACAAGGUCCUGGGUUCAAUCCCCAGUACCUCCU